UACGAAGGGGGCUAGCGUUGCUCGGAAUCACUGGGUUUAAAGGGUGCGUAGGUGGGUUGGUAAGUCAGUGGUGAAAUCCCCGAGCUUAACUUGGGAACUGCCAUUGAUACUAUCAGUCUUGAAUACCGUGGAGGUCAGCGGAAUAUGUCAUGUAGCGGUGAAAUGCUUAGAUAUGACAUAGAACACCAAUUGCGAAGGCAGCUGGCUACACGAAUAUUGACACUCAGGCACGAAAGCGUGGGGAUCAAACAGG
rnacentral:rRNA from 1 species